rnacentral:rRNA from 1 species
CGCUGAAAUAAGAGCUUGCUCUUAUGGAUGAGUUGCGAACGGGUGAGUAACACGUGGGGAACCUACCUUCUAGCGGGGGAUAACACAUAGAAAUGUGUGCUAAUACCGCAUAAUAGUAUUUGAUGCAUAUCAGAUACUUGAAAGGCGCAAUUGCGUCACUAGAAGAUGGCCCCGCGGUGCAUUAGCUAGUUGGUGAGGUAACGGCUCACCAAGGCAAUGAUGCAUAGCCGACCUGAGAGGGUGAUCGGCCACACUGGGACUGAGACACGGCCCAGACUCCUACGGGAGGCAGCAGUAGGGAAUCUUCGGCAAUGGACGCAAGUCUGACCGAGCAACGCCGCGUGAGUGAAGAAGGUUUUCGGAUCGUAAAACUCUGUUGUAAGAGAAGAACGUUGAUGAGAGUGGAAAGUUCAUCAAGUGACGGUAUCUUACCAGAAAGCCACGGCUAACUACGUGCCAGCAGCCGCGGUAAUACGUAGGUGGCAAGCGUUGUCCGGAUUUAUUGGGCGUAAAGCGAGCGCAGGCGGUUGAUUAAGUCUGAUGUGAAAGCCCCCGGCUCAACCGGGGAGGGUCAUUGGAAACUGGUCAACUUGAGUGCAGAAGAGGAGAGUGGAAUUCCAUGUGUAGCGGUGAAAUGCGUAGAUAUAUGGAGGAACACCAGUGGCGAAGGCGGCUCUCUGGUCUGUAACUGACGCUGAGGCUCGAAAGCGUGGGGAGCGAACAGGAUUAGAUACCCUGGUAGUCCACGCCGUAAACGAUGAGUGCUAAGUGUUGGAGGGUUUCCGCCCUUCAGUGCUGCAGCUAACGCAUUAAGCACUCCGCCU